ensembl:lncRNA
AGGUGUAGAGCAUUUGACUGCAUAAGAGGCUCACCUUACCAGGUUUUAUUUCUUAGAGAAGUUUUAGCUAAGGAGAUAUUUAAGCCAGAAACUAAAAGGCAAGGAAAAAAAGAGACAGAAAGGAGAGAUGCAAAAGCAUUUGGGCUGUGGAAAUGCCUAACUGCUGUGAAUGCUUAGUCAUUCAGUGUGGCCGGAGGUCAAGGUUGAGUGCAAGGCAGAGAGCAGGAAAUAAAACUCAUGAGAAAAGUCACAUGCUACUGAAAACUGGUUGAUUUGGGGAGAAGGGUUGCUGGAUGAAGAGAGCUCCUGGAUUGAGGUCAUGUCCAUGAAGAGAGAGGCAGAUUCCAUCUGGGUUCAAUAGAAAUUAAGGAUGCUGAAAAAUGCAAGACAGACCUAGAAAGAGCUGAGGAUAUGGAAAAUAAAUCUGGAUGAGCAAACUGAUGUCAAGGUCAUACAACUACUGAAUGGCGGAAUCCAGAUUUCAUUCCCGGCAAACAGAGUCCAGAGCCCUAAAACUUCAACCAUUAUAUACACUGUGAAGAUAUUUCAUUAAAUACAGAUGGAAUUAAAUCAUCUGACAUUAGAGACAAAGGAAAUUCUGAGAUUAUUGA